GAAAUUUGGUGUGGGCAACUAGCAACCAGCUGAUUAAAACGUUCCCAAUACUCAUACAAAGUUUCUCCAUUAUUUUGGCGAAUCCCACUAAUUUCUUUCCUAAUUGU
rnacentral:snoRNA from 1 species